rnacentral:misc_RNA from 1 species
UCCGAGUUGUCCCCGGCAGUCUCCUACGAGUCCCCGGCAUUACCCGCUGGCAACAUAGGACGAGGGUUGCGCUCGUUGCGGGACUUAACCCAACAUCUCACGACACGAGCUGACGACAGCCAUGCAGCACCUGUGUUCCGGGCUCCGAAGAGAAGGUCACAUCUCUGCGACCGGUCCCGGACAUGUCAAGGGCUGGUAAGGUUCUGCGCGUUGCGUCGAAUUAAACCACAUACUCCACCGCUUGUGCAGGCCCCCGUCAAUUUCUUUGAGUUUUAACCUUGCGGCCGUACUCCCCAGGCGGUCAACUUCACGCGUUUGCUACGGUACUCAGAAAUCGCUUCCCGAACACCCAGUUGACAUGGUUUAGGGCGUGGACUAC